GACGAACGCUGGCGGCGUGCUUAACACAUGCAAGUCGAACGGAAAGGCCCUGCUUUUGUGGGGUGCUCGAGUGGCGAACGGGUGAGUAACACGUGAGUAACCUGCCCUUGACUUUGGGAUAACUUCAGGAAACUGGGGCUAAUACCGGAUAGGAGCUCCUGCUGCAUGGUGGGGGUUGGAAGGUUUCGGCGGUUGGGGAUGGACUCGCGGCUUAUCAGCUUGUUGGUGGGGUAGUGGCUUACCAAGGCUUUGACGGGUAGCCGGCCUGAGAGGGUGACCGUCCACAUUGGGACUGAGAUACGGCCCAGACUCCUACGGGAGGCAGCAGUGGGGAAUAUUGCACAAUGGGCGGAAGCCUGAUGCAGCAACGCCGCGUGCGGGAUGACGGCCUUCGGGUUGUAAACCGCUUUCGCCUGUGACGAAGCGUGAGUGACGGUAAUGGGUAAAGAAGCACCGGCUAACUACGUG
rnacentral:rRNA from 1 species